CCCAUUUCAAAAUUAGCUGGCCGUCCAUCUGAAAGGUAAAACUCUAGUUGAGAAAAGACAGGCCGCAACAACGAACGUUUAUUUUCUUAAAAAAGUUUGAAUUAUAGAACCAUCUAACAGGACCUUUCUCAACCAAAAAGAUACCCCAAAAAGCGAAACCCAACCAAACAACAGCCAUCAAGAAAAGUACAACCAAACACAUCUACACACAAUGUGUUCCCUCGUCAGAACAGUCGGCAUGGUAACGACCGGACUUUGCGCCAUCUCUUUGGUGAUGGGCUCAUUUGAUCUGUCCUCGACAGAAGACGAAUAUGUUCAGCAAACACUCACGAAAUGUUCCACAUACGUCUACGACCUGAUUAUUUGUCUAGCGGAAGAAAAAUCCUUCAAAUUUGAAAUUAAAAAGUGUGACGAUCUUCUAGCAAAAACAUUCAUCUGU